CAGGAGAGCUUGCUCUCUGGGUGGCGAGUGGCGGACGGGUGAGGAAUACAUCGGAAUCUACUCUGUCGUGGGGGAUAACGUAGGGAAACUUACGCUAAUACCGCAUACGACCUACGGGUGAAAGCAGGGGAUCUUCGGACCUUGCGCGAUUGAAUGAGCCGAUGUCGGAUUAGCUAGUUGGCGGGGUAAAGGCCCACCAAGGCGACGAUCCGUAGCUGGUCUGAGAGGAUGAUCAGCCACACUGGAACUGAGACACGGUCCAGACUCCUACGGGAGGCAGCAGUGGGGAAUAUUGGACAAUGGGCGCAAGCCUGAUCCAGCCAUACCGCGUGGGUGAAGAAGGCCUUCGGGUUGUAAAGCCCUUUUGUUGGGAAAGAAAUCCAGCUGGCUAAUACCCGGUUGGGAUGACGGUACCCAAAGAAUAAGCACCGGCUAACUUCGUGCCAGCAGCCGCGGUAAUACGAAGGGUGCAAGCGUUACUCGGAAUUACUGGGCGUAAAGCGUGCGUAGGUGGUCGUUUAAGUCCGUUGUGAAAGCCCUGGGCUCAACCUGGGAACUGCAGUGGAUACUGGGCGACUAGAGUGUGGUAGAGGGUAGCGGAAUUCCUGGUGUAGCAGUGAAAUGCGUAGAGAUCAGGAGGAACAUCCAUGGCGAAGGCAGCUACCUGGACCAACACUGACACUGAGGCACGAAAGCGUGGGGAGCA
rnacentral:rRNA from 1 species